AUGGCGUUAGUACGAGUGUCGUGCAGCCUCCAGGCCCCCCCCUCCCGGGAGAGCCAUAGUAGUCUGCGGAACCGGUGAGUACACCGGAAUCGCCGGGGUGACCGGGUCCUUUCUUGGAAUCAACCCGCUCAAUACCCGGAAAUUUGGGCGUGCCCCCGCGAGACUGCUAGCCGAGUAGUGUUGGGUCGCGAAAGGCCUUGUGGUACUGCCUGAUAGGGUGCUUGCGAGUGCCCCGGGAGGUCUCGUAGACCGUGCAUCAUGAGCACAUUUCCUAAACCUCA
rnacentral:other from 12 species